GGCCAAGUUUUUAAGGGCGCACGGUGGAUGCCUUGGCACCAGGAACCGAUGAAGGACGUGGGAGGCCACGAUAGUCCCCGGGGAGUCGUCAACCAGGCUUUGAUCCGGGGGUUUCCGAAUGGGGAAACCCGGCAGUCGUCAUGGGCUGUCACCCAUGCCUGAACACAUAGGGCAUGUGGAGGGAACGCGGGGAAGUGAAACAUCUCAGUACCCGCAGGAAGAGAAAACAACCGUGAUUCCGGGAGUAGUGGCGAGCGAAACCGGAUGAGGCUAAACCGUAUACGUGUGAGACCCGGCAGGGGUUGCGUAUGCGGGGUUGUGGGAUCUCUCUUCCACGGUCUGCCGGCCGUGGGACGAGUCAGAAACCGUUGAUGUAGGCGAAGGACAUGCGAAAGGUCCGGCGUAGAGGGUAAGACCCCCGUAGUCGAAACAUCAGCGGCUCGUUUGAGAGACACCCAAGUAGCACGGGGCCCGAGAAAUCCCGUGUGAAUCUGGCGGGACCACCCGCUAAGCCUAAAUAUUCCCUGGUGACCGAUAGCGGAUAGUACCGUGAGGGAAUGGUGAAAAGUACCGCGGGAGCGGAGUGAAAUAGUACCUGAAACCGUGUGCCUACAAGCCGUGGGAGCGUCGGAACAAGGCUUGCCUUGUUCUCGUGACUGCGUGCCUUUUGAAGAAUGAGCCUGCGAGUUUGCGGUGUGUUGCGAGGUUAACCCGUGUGGGGAAGCCGUAGCGAAAGCGAGUCCGAAUAGGGCGAUUCAGUAGCACGCUCAAGACCCGAAGCGGAGUGAUCUAGCCAUGGGCAGGUUGAAGCGGAGGUAAGACUUCGUGGAGGACCGAACCCACCAGGGUUGAAAACCUGGGGGAUGACCUGUGGUUAGGGGUGAAAGGCCAAUCAAACUCCGUGAUAGCUGGUUCUCCCCGAAAUGCAUUUAGGUGCAGCGUCGUGUGUUUCUUGCCGGAGGUAGAGCACUGGAUAGGCGAUGGGCCCUACCGGGUUACUGACCUUAGCCAAACUCCGAAUGCCGGUAAGUGAGAGCGCGGCAGUGAGACUGUGGGGGAUAAGCUCCAUGGUCGAGAGGGAAACAGCCCAGAGCAUCGACUAAGGCCCCUAAGCGUACGCUAAGUGGGAAAGGAUGUGGAGUCGCAGAGACAACCAGGAGGUUGGCUUAGAAGCAGCCACCCUUGAAAGAGUGCGUAAUAGCUCACUGGUCUAGUGAUUCCGCGCCGACAAUGUAGCGGGGCUCAAGCGUACCGCCGAAGUCGUGUCAUUGCGAUAUAUACCCCCAACGGGGAUCGUGAUGGGUAGGGGAGCGUCGUGUGCCGGGUGAAGCAGCCGCGGAAGCGAGUUGUGGACGGUUCACGAGUGAGAAUGCAGGCAUGAGUAGCGAUACAAACGUGAGAAACGUUUGCGCCGAUUGACUAAGGGUUCCUGGGUCAAGCUGAUCUGCCCAGGGUAAGUCGGGACCUAAGGCGAGGCCGACAGGCGUAGUCGAUGGAUAACCGGUUGAUAUUCCGGUACCCGCUGUGAAGCGUCAAACAUCGAGCAUCGUGAUGCUAAGGCCGUGAAGCCGUUCCGGACCCUUCGGGGAAAGGAAAGUGGUGGAGCCGCCGAACCAAGCGGUUAGUAGGUGAGUGAUGGGGUGACGCAGGAAGGUAGUCCAUCCCGGGCGGUGGUUGUCCCGGGGUAAGGGUGUAGGCCGUGAUCCAGGCAAAUCCGGAUCACUUGUGGCUGAGACCUGAUGCCGAGCCGAUUGUGGUGAAGUGGAUGAUCCUAUGCUGUCGAGAAAAGCCUCUAGCGAGUUUCAUGGCGGCCCGUACCCUAAACCGACUCAGGUGGUCAGGUAGAGAAUACCGAGGCGUUCGGGUGAACUAUGGUUAAGGAACUCGGCAAAAUGCCCCCGUAACUUCGGGAGAAGGGGGGCCACACCUGGUGAGAACACUUGCUGUUCGAGCUGGGGGUGGCCGCAGAGACCAGCGAGAAGCGACUGUUUACUAAAAACACAGGUCCGUGCGAAGCCGUAAGGCGAUGUAUACGGACUGACGCCUGCCCGGUGCUGGAACGUUAAGGGGACCGGUUAGCUCCAUUUCGGUGGGGCGAAGCUGAGAACUUAAGCGCCAGUAAACGGCGGUGGUAACUAUAACCAUCCUAAGGUAGCGAAAUUCCUUGUCGGGUAAGUUCCGACCUGCACGAAUGGCGUAACGACUUCUCGACUGUCUCAACCAUAGGCCCGGUGAAAUUGCACUACGAGUAAAGAUGCUCGUUUCGCGCAGCAGGACGGAAAGACCCCGGGACCUUUACUACAGUUUGAUAUUGGUGUUCGGUUCGGCUUGUGUAGGAUAGCUGGGAGACUGUGAACUCUGGACGCCAGUUCAGGGGGAGUCGUCGUUGAAAUACCAGUCUGGUCGUGCUGGAUGUCUAACCUGGGUCCGUGAUCCGGAUCAGGGACAGUGUCUGAUGGGUAGUUUAACUGGGGCGGUUGCCUCCUAAAGAGUAACGGAGGCGCCCAAAGGUUCCCUCAGCCUGGUUGGCAAUCAGGUGUUGAGUGUAAGUGCACAAGGGAGCUUGACUGUGAGACCGACGGGUCGAGCAGGGACGAAAGUCGGGACUAGUGAUCCGGCGGUGGCUUGUGGAAGCGCCGUCGCUCAACGGAUAAAAGGUACCCCGGGGAUAACAGGCUGAUCUUCCCCAAGAGUCCAUAUCGACGGGAUGGUUUGGCACCUCGAUGUCGGCUCGUCGCAUCCUGGGGCUGGAGUCGGUCCCAAGGGUUGGGCUGUUCGCCCAUUAAAGCGGUACGCGAGCUGGGUUUAGAACGUCGUGAGACAGUUCGGUCCCUAUCCGCUGUGCGCGUAGGAAUAUUGAGAAGGGCUGUCCCUAGUACGAGAGGACCGGGACGGACGAACCUCUGGUGUGCCAGUUGUCCUGCCAAGGGCAUGGCUGGUUGGCUACGUUCGGGAGGGAUAACCGCUGAAAGCAUCUAAGCGGGAAGCCUGCUUCGAGAUGAGUAUUCCCACCUCCUUGAGAGGGUAAGGCUCCCAGUAGACGACUGGGUUGAUAGGCCGGAUAUGGAAGCACGGUAACGUGUGGAGUUGACCGGUACUAAUAGGCCGAGGGCUUGUCCUC
rnacentral:rRNA from 1 species